GGGUGCCAGGUCCACCUAGAAUUAACCCUGCCUGCUGUAAACAUAGCAGUUUCAGAGAAACUGCUAUGUUUACAUUAAGGUUAAUCCAGCCUCUAGUGGCUGUCUCAUUGACAGCCGCUAGAGGCGCCUCCGCGCUUCUCACUGUGAUUUUCACAGCGAGAAGACGCCAGCUUCCAUAGGAAAGCAAUGACAAUUGCGCAUUCAGCUGAUGACGGC